rnacentral:rRNA from 1 species
AUUGAACGCUGGCGGAAUGCUUUACACAUGCAAGUCGAACGGCAGCACGGGGGCAACCCUGGUGGCGAGUGGCGAACGGGUGAGUAAUACAUCGGAACGUGCCCAAUCGUGGGGGAUAACGUAGCGAAAGCUACGCUAAUACCGCAUACGAUCUACGGAUGAAAGCGGGGGAUCGCAAGACCUCGCGCGAAUGGAGCGGCCGAUGGCAGAUUAGGUAGUUGGUGGGGUAAAGGCUCACCAAGCCGACGAUCUGUAGCUGGUCUGAGAGGACGACCAGCCACACUGGGACUGAGACACGGCCCAGACUCCUACGGGAGGCAGCAGUGGGGAAUUUUGGACAAUGGGCGCAAGCCUGAUCCAGCCAUUCCGCGUGCAGGAUGAAGGCCUU